GCAUCUUGCUGAAACUUUGCAUUUUUUUGCACUUUCUUUUUCGUUAGAAUAAAUUGUUCAUGAUACAAUACAUGAUCUCAGCUAGCAUAAAAGAAUGAAAGUAAAUGGGACAUAACCUGAAAUAAUUAUAAAAACAAGUGGAUAUGGCAUGUGCAAUGCACAUGAAGAGAGUCGUGGUUUGCAAGUUGUGGGAAACGUUGUAAAAGGGAGUUAUUUGAUACUCUAGCAGAGUGUAGAGUUGAUACUCGGGCAACCUCAAAUUGUAAAUGUGGCAUAUAUUAGCUCAAUCAGACCGUUCAAGUUGUGGGAAUUACAUUAUAUAGGUUAUUUUCCAAAUUUCAUAUUGAUUUAAUGUUUCUAAAUUCUAAUUUCGGACUAGUAAGCAUGUAUUUGUUGAAUGUGGAUCCUUGACUGUUUUCAUUUGACCGUCCAUAAAAUAUCCACCAAUCAGCCUGUUAGAAAAUCAAAUUUUAGUAUAUUUUUUCUAUAAAAAUCCAUCUGAAUCUAAACCCAUGAUUUUUAUGGUUUAUUCAGUUUAUUGUCUUCUAUGCAUAUGAUUUCUUAGUGCUAUGUAUCAACCAUCUUACUCUGUGAAAGUAUUAAAGUUUCUCUCCUUGUAAAAAAGGAAGAUAGUGGUUGAAGUGGCAGUCGGUCUCUCAUAUAUUCUUAAAAUUCCCAAAUUCCUUUUUGUGACAAAACUCUCCCUAUGUCCUUUAAAUCAAACAAAGCUUUGCCUUAAAAAAACGUAAUUGCAUGGGUAAAAAUGUUCAUAGCUAUUCAUGCAAUAUAUAGUAGAGAUGAACUAUUUUUGCCCAUAUAUCUUCCAGCAAUAUACAUCUCUAGUUAUAUGAAUUGGUUUGAGCAACUUUUUUUGAUUUAUUUACUUCGAUCCUUGUAUCGCUUUCAGGCAUAUAUGGGUCCCUAACAAAAAAUCACCGCUCGGCAUUGUUAGUCCUUUGAAUCGGAAGAAACUGUGAUUUUCCGUGGCGAGUUGUAUUGCCCUACAGUUUUGAUUGGACUCUGACCUCUGUUUGAGAAUGGACAUUAAAAGAAAUGGCUUUCAAUGCAGGGCAUUUGUUGUUUUUGGUAGCA